AGAGUUUGAUCCUGGCUCAGAUUGAACGCUGGCGGCAGGCCUAACACAUGCAAGUCGAACGGUAACAGGAAGAAGCUUGCUUCUUUGCUGACGAGUGGCGGACGGGUGAGUAAUGUCUGGGAAACUGCCUGAUGGAGGGGGAUAACUACUGGAAACGGUAGCUAAUACCGCAUAACGUCGCAAGACCAAAGAGGGGGACCUUCGGGCCUCUUGCCAUCGGAUGUGCCCAGAUGGGAUUAGCUAGUAGGUGGGGUAACGGCUCACCUAGGCGACGAUCCCUAGCUGGUCUGAGAGGAUGACCAGCCACACUGGAACUGAGACACGGUCCAGACUCCUACGGGAGGCAGCAGUGGGGAAUAUUGCACAAUGGGCGCAAGCCUGAUGCAGCCAUGCCGCGUGUAUGAAGAAGGCCUUCGGGUUGUAAAGUACUUUCAGCGGGGAGGAAGGGAGUAAAGUUAAUACCUUUGCUCAUUGACGUUACCCGCAGAAGAAGCACCGGCUAACUCCGUGCCAGCAGCCGCGGUAAUACGGAGGGUGCAAGCGUUAAUCGGAAUUACUGGGCGUAAAGCGCACGCAGGCGGUUUGUUAAGUCAGAUGUGAAAUCCCCGGGCUCAACCUGGGAACUGCAUCUGAUACUGGCAAGCUUGAGUCUCGUAGAGGGGGGUAGAAUUCCAGGUGUAGCGGUGAAAUGCGUAGAGAUCUGGAGGAAUACCGGUGGCGAAGGCGGCCCCCUGGACGAAGACUGACGCUCAGGUGCGAAAGCGUGGGGGAGCAACCAGGAUUAGAUACCGUGGUAGUCCACSCGUAAACGAUGUCGACUUGGAGGUUGUGCCCUUGAGGCGUGGCUUCCGGAGCUAACGCGUUAAGUCGACCGCCUGGGGAGUACGGCCGCAAGGUUAAAACUCAAAUGAAUUGACGGGGGCCCGCACAAGCGGUGGAGCAUGUGGUUUAAUUCGAUGCAACGCGAAGAACCUUACCUGGUCUUGACAUCCACAGAACUUUCCAGAGAUGGAUUGGUGCCUUCGGGAACUGUGAGACAGGUGCUGCAUGGCUGUCGUCAGCUCGUGUUGUGAAAUGUUGGGUUAAGUCCCGCAACGAGCGCAACCCUUAUCUUUUGUUGCCAGCGGUCCGGCCGGGAACUCAAAGGAGACUGCCAGUGAUAAACUGGAGGAAGGUGGGGAUGACGUCAAGUCAUCAUGGCCCUUACGACCAGGGCUACACACGUGCUACAAUGGCGCAUACAAAGAGAAGCGACCUCGCGAGAGCAAGCGGACCUCAUAAAGUGCGUCGUAGUCCGGAUUGGAGUCUGCAACUCGACUCCAUGAAGUCGGAAUCGCUAGUAAUCGUGGAUCAGAAUGCCACGGUGAAUACGUUCCCGGGCCUUGUACACACCGCCCGUCACACCAUGGGAGUGGGUUGCAAAAGAAGUAGGUAGCUUAACCUUCGGGAGGGCGCUUACCACUUUGUGAUUCAUGACUGGGGUGAAGUCGUAACAAGGUAACCGUA
rnacentral:rRNA from 1 species